rnacentral:rRNA from 1 species
GACGAACGCUGGCGGCGUGCUUAACACAUGCAAGUCGAACGGAAAGGCCCUUCGGGGUACUCGAGUGGCGAACGGGUGAGUAACACGUGGGUGAUCUGCCCUGCACUUUGGGAUAAGCCUGGGAAACUGGGUCUAAUACCGAAUAUGAUCAUCAGCUUCAUGGUUGGUGGUGGAAAGCUUUUGCGGUGUGGGAUGGGCCCGCGGCCUAUGAGCUUGUUGGUGGGGUAAUGGCCUACCAAGGUGACGACGGGUAGCCGGCCUGAGAGGGUGACCGGCCACACUGGGACUGAGAUACGGCCCAGACUCCUACGGGAGGCAGCAGUGGGGAAUAUUGCACAAUGGGCGCAAGCCUGAUGCAGCGACGCCGCGUGAGGGAUGACGGCCUUCGGGUUGUAAACCUCUUUCAGCACAGACGAAGCGCAAGUGGCGGUAUGUGCAGAAGAAGGACCGGCCAACUACGUGCCAGCCGCCGCAGUAA